UUAAUAUUGACUUUCAUCAAACCUUCAUUGGUAGUAACAUUUCUUAGGUUCAGUUUGUGUUCAGCAGUUUUUCAAAGAGCAUUUAAAGAUCUUACAGUCCUGGUUUUGACUCACACAGUGUUUCUGUUUUGCUCUGAUCUUUAGUGUAACUGUAAUAAAAUGAUUAAUGUGAGCCUGGCUUGUUUUUUUUCUUUAGGUACUGCUGACAUCUAUGAAUCAGUCACACAAGUGACAAACAGAAAUGGUACAGUAUAUGUGCUGGAAAGCACAGAGCAGUUAGAGAUAAAACCUAUUUUGAUUUAAUGAAACUUAUUCCAUGCGACAUGUUUUUACAGUCUUGUAAAUAAAAUUAUGAACAUUUCAGGAGCAGAUGAAUAUGAGAAUGUCCCUUCCUCUCAGAGUGAUCAGAAAGUUUUUAAGUAUUAAUUUCUUUUUGAUUUCAUUUGAUCAUUUUAACAGGGGAGUAUGAUGAACCAGAGGGGAGUGCUUUUUACAUCAAUGUCCAGAUGUGAGCUUCAGAGUGUGUCUGCACCUUCUAAACAAAGCCUGUAAGGAUACAGGAAGUCACAGGUGGGACAGGCACGAGGGGCAGCCAGUGACCCAACACACAUCCUUAAAGCUGAUAUCCACCAGCUUCUCAUGUAUGCACCCAGCAUUUCCUCAGUCACCUGAGCUCAGAGCUGGAUUCUUCAUUCCCUCCAACAUAAAUAUAAACCCCUUUUUCGUCACCACAGAACAUCUACAGCUGGGACUCUGUGAAGUAGUGAUACGUAAAAAAU
rnacentral:lncRNA from 1 species